CACAAAUUAAAAUAUGAAGGCUUCGGCUGGAUUAUUUUUAUCACCCUUGUCUUUUGCGCACUUGUUGUUUCCUGGGCGGGUUCGUCCGCCACCAGGACCACACCAUAAACCUUUUUUUAUGCAGUUGCAAUCAGCGUCAGUAUAACAAAUGUAAAUCAUUUA
rnacentral:misc_RNA from 1 species